AUUGAACGCUGGCGGCAGGCCUAACACAUGCAAGUCGAGCGAGCGGCGGACGGGUGAGUAAGGAAUGGGGAGUGCGAGAUAGAGGGGGGUAACAACAGGAAACGGGUGCUAAUAACGCAUACUAUCGGAUAACCCAUAUGGGAUUAGCUAGGAGGUGGGGUAAAGGCAAACCCAGGCGCAGAUCUCUAGCUGGUCUGAGAGGAUGAUCAGGCACACUGGGACUGAGACACGGCCCCGACUCCUACGGAGUCAGCAGUGGGGAAUAUUGUACAAUGGGCGCAAGCCUGAUACAGCCAUGCCGCGUGUAUUAAGAAGGCCUUAGGGUUGUAAAGUACUUUCAGCGGGGAGGCGUUACCCGCAGAAUAAGCACCGGCUAACUCCGUGCCAGCCGCCGCGGUAAUUA
rnacentral:rRNA from 1 species